rnacentral:rRNA from 1 species
CCUACGGGGGGCAGCAGUGGGGGAUAUUGCACAAUGGGGGAAACCCUGAUGCAGCGACGCCGCGUGUGGGAAGACGGUCCUCUGGAUUGUAAACCACUGUCCCCAGGGACGAAGAUGACGGUACCUGGGGAGGAAGCUCCGGCUAACUACGUGCCAGCAGCCGCGGUAAUACGUAGGGAGCGAGCGUUGUCCGGAAUUACUGGGUGUAAGGGGAGCGUAGGCGGGGAUGAAAGUUGGGGGUCAAAACUACCGGCUCAACUGGGAGUUGCAUUCAAAACUGGAGCUCUUGAGUGAAGGAGAGGCAGGCGGAAUUCCUAGUGUAGCGGUGAAAUGCGUAGAUAUUAGGAGGAACACCAGUGGCGAAGGCGGCUUGCUGGGCUUUAACUGACGCUGAGGCUCGAAAGUGUGGGGAGCAAACAGGAUUAGAUACCCCUGUAGUC